rnacentral:rRNA from 1 species
GUGAGGAAUAUUGGUCAAUGGACGAGAGUCUGAACCAGCCAAGUAGCGUGAAGGAAGACUGCCCUAUGGGUUGUAAACUUCUUUUAUGAGGGAAUAAAGUGCCUUACGUGUAGGGUUUUGUAUGUACCUCAUGAAUAAGCAUCGGCUAAUUCCGUGCCAGCAGCCGCGGUAAUACGGAAGAUGCGAGCGUUAUCCGGAUUUAUUGGGUUUAAAGGGAGCGUAGGCCGGUCAUUAAGUCAGUUGUGAAAGUUUGCGGCUCAACCGUAAAAUUGCAGUUGAUACUGGUGACCUUGAGUGCGGCAGAGGCAGGCGGAAUUCGUGGUGUAGCGGUGAAAUGCUUAGAUAUCACGAAGAACCCCGAUUGCGAAGGCAGCCUGCUGGACCGUAACUGACGCUGAUGCUCGAAAGUGCGGGUAUCAAACAGGAUUAGAAACCCUUGUAGUCC